GUCAGUGUGGUGUAGUGGUUUGAACACUGGACUAGAACUCUGGAGACCAGGGUUCAAAUGCGCACUCAGACA